rnacentral:rRNA from 1 species
ACGGGAGGCAGCAGUGAGGAAUUUUCCGCAAUGGGCGAAAGCCUGACGGAGCAAUACCGCGUGAGGGAUGAAGGAUUUUGGUCUGUAAACCUCUUUUCUCAAGAAAGAAGUUCUGACGGUACUUGAGGAAUAAGCAUCGGCUAACUCCGUGCCAGCAGCCGCGGUAAUACGGGGGAUGCAAGCGUUAUCCGGAAUCAUUGGGCGUAAAGCGCCUGUAGGUUGUUUAACAAGUCUGUUGUUAAAGACUAGGGCUCAACCCUAGAAAAGCAAUGGAAACUACUAGACUAGAGUAUGGCAGGGGUAGAGGGAAUUUCUAGUGUAGCGGUGAAAUGCGUAGAUAUUAGAAAGAACACCGGUG